CUCUUUCUCUCUCAUGUUUCGUCACUUUGUGUAUAUAUUGAGGGUUGAUCUUAGGGUUUUCUCGUCUGAUUCUCUCUGCAAUCUUUGAGGAAAUGGAAUGCGUAAUAUGUAAACUUCUCUUCCAAUUGGUUACAAAUACCUGGAUAUCGACAUUAGUAUUGAUGUUGUCCAAAAGAAAACUCUUCACUCUUCUACAUGGAGCCGGAAAGGAAAGAGCCAAGCUUAGUGACAUAUGCACUAUGUGUUGUUGUGGACCGUAUUUGGAUCGCAAUUGCUUCUGAAUCUGAUAGAUAUAUGGCAAUUCCACACUCAUCAGUGUGUAUUGAGGUUGAGGCUGCAUCACCCAAUCAAGUUCUGGGACUGAAAAUGUCAACAAUUCCUUCAAUUCAGGAAUUUGAAUCCAGCAUAGAAAUAACUAAGUCCAUGUUUGGGAAACGGUCUAGAAUAAUGCACUGCUUUAUAAAUUUGUUGUCUGUCUCUAGCGAUUUACUUGGCUUAUGAUGUCUGAAAUCUCUACAAGGCUCAAGUCGUGAAACAUAUGUCAAGAUUUUGCUCACAUUUGCAGGCGAAGAGAGGUGGGAAUGUGCUAUUAAAGAGGACAAGAACUAGGUAGAUCCAUUUUGCUGGAAGCCACAUCUGUAGACAUAGGCGUAAGUUGAAGGUUUUAGUUGAUAUGGAUGACAGCGAGUUUGUAUUGCAUUAGAGUCUAACAGGCAAAGAAACACAAAUAUCAUUAUAAUUUCCUUAUUUUGAAUUAGUGUAAUUCCAAGUGCCGUAAUUCAAGUUUAUCUUCUGGUAUU